rnacentral:rRNA from 1 species
GCCGGCAGCCGGCUCUCUGCAACUCUCAAAUGUUCUUCCUCUGAAGCUAAGCAGGGCUGCGUGGUCAGUACCUGGAUGGGAGACCACAUGGGAAAGCUAGGUUGCUGCUGGAA